rnacentral:rRNA from 2 species
UGCUAUACAUGCAGUCGAACGCGUUGGCCCAGAUUGAUUGAUGGUGCUUGCACCUGAUUGAUUUUGGUCGCCAACGAGUGGCGGACGGGUGAGUAACACGUAGGUAACCUGCCCAGAAGCGGGGGACAACAUUUGGAAACAGAUGCUAAUACCGCAUAACAACGUUGUUCGCAUGAACAACGCUUAAAAGAUGGCUUCUCGCUAUCACUUCUGGAUGGACCUGCGGUGCAUUAGCUUGUUGGUGGGGUAACGGCCUACCAAGGCGAUGAUGCAUAGCCGAGUUGAGAGACUGAUCGGCCACAAUGGGACUGAGACACGGCCCAUACUCCUACGGGAGGCAGCAGUAGGGAAUCUUCCACAAUGGGCGCAAGCCUGAUGGAGCAACACCGCGUGAGUGAAGAAGGGUUUCGGCUCGUAAAGCUCUGUUGUUAAAGAAGAACACGUAUGAGAGUAACUGUUCAUACGUUGACGGUAUUUAACCAGAAAGUCACGGCUAACUACGUGCCAGCAGCCGCGGUAAUACGUAGGUGGCAAGCGUUAUCCGGAUUUAUUGGGCGUAAAGAGAGUGCAGGCGGUUUUCUAAGUCUGAUGUGAAAGCCUUCGGCUUAACCGGAGAAGUGCAUCGGAAACUGGAUAACUUGAGUGCAGAAGAGGGUAGUGGAACUCCAUGUGUAGCGGUGGAAUGCGUAGAUAUAUGGAAGAACACCAGUGGCGAAGGCGGCUACCUGGUCUGCAACUGACGCUGAGACUCGAAAGCAUGGGUAGCGAACAGGAUUAGAUACCCUGGUAGUCCAUGCCGUAAACGAUGAGUGCUAGGUGUUGGAGGGUUUCCGCCCUUCAGUGCCGGAGCUAACGCAUUAAGCACUCCGCCUGGGGAGUACGACCGCAAGGUUGAAACUCAAAGGAAUUGACGGGGGCCCGCACAAGCGGUGGAGCAUGUGGUUUAAUUCGAAGCUACGCGAAGAACCUUACCAGGUCUUGACAUCUUGCGCCAACCCUAGAGAUAGGGCGUUUCCUUCGGGAACGCAAUGACAGGUGGUGCAUGGUCGUCGUCA